CACGAGUUUCGUACGUGAUCGUCCUCGUUCAGAAGAUACGCUUCGUCUUUUACCGUUCAAGGUCAGCGAAUUGACGGAAACCAAGCGAAAAAAAAGAAGGAAAAGAAGGAAGUAAUGGAAAGAAAAAGGACGCAGAUGUAGGGGAACGAACGAACGAACGAACGAGAUCCGAACACUUUGAACGUCGUCGCACGACUGAACAACCAUUCGCGACUUUCACUUGAAGAUCGAGGAGAAGUGAAACAAAGAAGAAAGAGAAGCCUCUCUCCUUCGUGUUCAUCGUGAUAGUCCAGUAAUCGACGCGUAAUCGAAGCAGGUUUUAACCAGGCGUCUACCUCUCCUGGCAUAAUCUGACUUUCCAUCGUUAUACAGUUACUCGAGGGUGAAAGGUAUAUGUGUAUAUACGUGAUGAAAGUGACAUCAUAUUCUCUUCACGAACCAGUUCUCAUUGACUCUUAAUACCGGUUUUCUUCGAUGAAACCUUCAUAGCAUUCUACACUCCUGAUGGCGUUGUUCAUCGGGUGAGGUCGUAACCUUAAGAGCUCGUACAUUUUACGUGAGAAUAAUUGCGAGAAAUUGGACAGUAUAACCAAGGAAAUAGCAUUAUUCAAAUAGAGUGUAACGAAUUAAUAGAAAAUCGAUGAAACGACACUGGUUUUUCUUUCUUAUCGAAUCGCUUUCUCCAUUAAAAUCUUUCUUUAUUCUUCAUGAACGACGAAGAAACAACAUUGCCGAAGUACACGAAGAUAUCCGAUGAUCUUAGGAGCGAGUACUUUCACAUGAAAUGGAGUGAGUCGUUUGUGGUCGAGAGACUUGAAUCUUAAAGCAAAGGUAUAACCUUAGGAAAACGAAGAUGCGGUUGUACCAAAGAAGAAGAAGAAGAAGAAGAAAAAGAAGAAAAAAAGAAGAAGUAGAAGUUGUCUUUGUGAUAUAUAAUUUAAUGCUCGACAACCGAACGGUAAUAUUCCUGACUACAGACGAAAACACUUAUACACAUAAAACAUUUAUUUAUUUUUUAAAUUUGCAUACUUUCCUCAUUAAUUAUUCUGGACGUUCGAAGGAACAAGAUAGGUGACUAAGUCCAAUUCGUUUUAUGACGAGAUACAACGUAGAAGACUACCUUCGAGUAAUAUUCUUUCGAGGAUUCAUUUCGUGUCUCACGAUUUAUUUUUUGUUCUUCUUUUUCUUAUUUUGGCCAUAAGCGUUAAAAUAAAUAUAUUAAACUUAAUAUAACAAUACUCUAUUUGGUUUAUUAAUAGAUCUAGGAAGAAAUAUUUUUCUGCUUGAACGCA